UGGGGAAUAUUGCACAAUGGGCGCAAGCCUGAUGCAGCCAUGCCGCGUGUAUGAAGAAGGCCUUCGGGUUGUAAAGUACUUUCAGCGGGGAGGAAGGCGAUAAGGUUAAUAACCUUGUCGAUUGACGUUACCCGCAGAAGAAGCACCGGCUAACUCCGUGCCAGCAGCCGCGGUAAUACGGAGGGUGCAAGCGUUAAUCGGAAUUACUGGGCGUACAGAGCACGCAGGCGGUCUGGCAAGUCGGAUGUGAAAUCCCCGGGCUCAACCUGGGAACUGCAUUCGAAACUGGCAGGCUAGAGUCUUGUAGAGGGGGGUAGAAUUCCAGGUGUAGCGGUGAAAUGCGUAGAGAUCUGGAGGAAUACCGGUGGCGAAGGCGGCCCCCUGGACAAAGACUGACGCUCAGGUGCGAAAGCGUGGGGAGCAAACA
rnacentral:rRNA from 1 species